AUAGCUCAGUGGUAGAGCACAACCUUGCCAAGGUUGGGGUCGCGAGUUCGAAUCUCGUUUCCCGCUCCA
rnacentral:tRNA from 2 species